AGAAGUGAAGGAAACUUGGGAGCAAUUGAAAACCCAUGCGAGCAACUGGCAGAAACAGGUGGAAAAGGUGUUGGAGAAACUUCAAGAACUGCAGAAAGCUCUGGAUGAUCUUGAGGCUCAUGUGAUAACAGCUGAAGGGGUCCGCACUGAUUGACAACCUGUGGGUGAACUGCUUAUUGACUCAUUGCAGGAUCACAUUGAUAAAACCACAAACCUACCCCAGAAGAGAGAGCUAAAGCUGUCCGCAAACAGUCAAUAGAAGUGAAGGAAACUUGGGAGCAAUUGAAAACCCAUGCGAGCAACUGGCAGAAACAGGUGGAAAAGGCGUUGGAGAAACUUCAAGAACUGCAGAAAGCUCUGGAUGACCUUGAGGCUCAUGUGAUAACAGCUGAGGGGAUCCACACUGAUUGGCAACCUGUGGGUGACCUGUUUAUUGACUCAUUGCAGAAUCACAUUGAUAAAACCACAGUAACUGCAAUUACAUUACACUUCACUUAUGAACAUGUAACCACAAUGUUGUAUCGAGAUGAUCAGUAAUAGGAGUACUUCAGUAAUAUUGAUUGAAUGGUUGUUAACUUAAUUUGCAAAUUAAAACUUCGUUGAGCAUGCCUUCUGAUGAUAUCACAUCGUUAAUAUGAGUAUAAUUGAGGAUUCUAUUAGUCAGUGACAUCAGCUGAGUUAUCUACUUGUUGCCAUGUUAUCAGGAUUAAAGGAAAAGCCUUACCACGCCAUUUGGCCACUCCUUAGAGAGAGACAACUGGUUAUGAUUUAACCUGAAGAUCACCAUGCCUCAGGCAAGUAGAGGGGUUGAGGCGAAGAUCCUUUGUGGUAAGCUCACUGGUGUGGCAAUUGAGCCCUCUGUUGGAGGGGAUCACUCUGCAUCACAAACCAACCGUUCAGCCAACUGAAUUUGAAUAGAGUUUAGGAUUGGAGAGCAAUCCAUGCAAUUGUAUUUUUUUUAAUGAAUGUUUCUCACUGGCAAACUUUUAAAAACCAGCUCAGCCAUACAGGCGAGAUCAGUUCCUGAUCUCAGCUGAAUUUUUUGAUCUCAGGUGGGUCAGCGUGAGGAGUUCAGUGAUUGGAAUGAAUUCUCAUGAAU